rnacentral:rRNA from 1 species
ACGGAAGGCAGCAGUGGGGAAUAUUGCACAAUGGGCGCAAGCCUGAUGCAGCGAUGCCGCGUGAGGGAAGAAGGUUUUCGGGUUGCAAACCUCUGUCAACAGGGACGAAAAUGACGGUACCUGUGAAGGAAGCUCCGGCUAACUACGUGCCAGCAGCCGCGGUAAUACGUAGGGAGCAAGCGUUAUCCGGAAUUACUGGGUGUAAAGGGAGUGUAGGCGGGACUGUAAGUCAGAUGUGAAAUAUGCCGGCUCAACUGGCAGACUGCAUUUGAAACUGCGGUUCUUGAGUGAAGUAGAGGUAAGCGGAAUUCCUAGUGUAGCGGUGAAAUGCGUAGAUAUUAGGAGGAACAUCAGUGGCGAAGGCGGCUUACUGGGCUUUAACUGACGCUGAGGCUCGAAAGCGUGGGGAGCAAACAGGAUUAGAUACCCUGGUA